UUUUGUGAGUAUAUAGGGCUCAGCAGCUCUCAGCAUCUGCUUUUAGCUGUAUUUUCUGGAUGGAGCCUUGGUAAAUUUUGGAUGCUUAUAGGUAUAUGUGCCUCCAUGGAAACUGAGCCCUUUUGUGUACCUGAUGAUUGUUGUUUUGUGUGAUCUGAUCUUUCUAUGUCCACAUAAUCUUCUUGGAGGCUUCCUCAUUGCAGAGAGAAAUGAGCUGAGGGAAAAAAAGAAUCAGGAUAAAACAUACCACAGUAACCCUUACUAAUGAAUGAAUGCAUCCUCAGGUGUUCUUCAGCUGUGCUGGAGCAGUGAAGAAGCCUGGAAAACCCUGCAGUGCAGGAGGAGAUGGUCACCAUCCAGUGAUGAAGGUGUGAGGCCAGACAUCUGAGCCUUAUGUGAGAUAUAUUCAUACCGCGUUGACUGAUAAAAGUUACUAGUAUGGAGGAAUCUCUGUCCUAAGAACAGUGUCUUGAGCAAUACCCAAGCUUCAGGGAACUUUUACUAAGAAGCUCAUACCCAAUAGCACCCAAUUUGAGUUUUCCAUGCAUACAGAGCUGCUGUGCAUCUACUCUCAGCAGAUGAGAGUUAAGCUGCUUUGCUUUGCAUAAAACUCAGAACUUCUCUGCUUUCUUCGGAAAAAAAAACAUGAUUGUGCUGAUUUGUGGUUUUUCCUUAAAUGGUCUGCAUAUGUUUGCACGCAAGAUGUCAGUAAUGAAGGAGUCUACUAAAUUCACUUGGUGAAAUUCUAUCGGAGCUUGUGAAAAACAAAACAAACAAAAAAAACCCCAGCCCAUCGAGUAAAAAUGGCUCGAUUGAUGCAAAAGGAAGCACAGAUGGAGGUAAUGGGGUUUCAAAAGAGGAAUUAGAGGAGAUCUGAGAGGCUCAUAAAUCUGCAGCAGUUCAACUUUGCCAAGAACUGUAGUGGGAAAUCCUCAUGACGGGAGGUAUUUCCACACCGUGUGUGCCCAUGAGAGCUUUGCUGGGGCAGCUGUGGGGAAAGCAUUAUCUGGUGGUGACGGCAAGACCUGGCAAUCAGCAUUCCUGAAUCCUGUCGGACCGCGGCUGCUGACUCACAGAGCGGCCUUGGGUACUACAAAGGAAGUGUGGGUGGCAGGCUCAAAUGCAGAUCUCUGCGGUGUAUAAGCAUCAAGGUUGAAGAUUCACCUCACUCUGAUUUUUCAGAAGUUAGGAUCUGUCAAAGGUUGUAACUGCUUUGACCAGCCUCUCAUGGCACCUCCAGAUAGGCAACCCAUACCCCUUGCUUCAGGGGCUGCAUGUGGGCUCCAAUCCUGGCACCAGUCCUUGCUCCAGCUGUGCUGUAGAUGUGCCUGUAUCCCCCAUUCCCUGCUGACCCUGACUUGCUCCUAGGCUCUCCAGGUUGGCUGCACACCCAGUUCCACUCCUGCUGUUCCCCACUGAAGGGAUUGAUUCACCAUUUGACUUGACUUCAGGUCUCCUACUUAGCUUUGAGCUGUCACUCAGAAGUUUCUUACAUGGCCUCCAUCAGCCCCAUGUGAUGUCACAGCUACUCAAAGGGAUCUGACAUGGCAUGGUGUCAGACACCUGUGGGCAGGCAGCUGAAUUUUUCCCUCAAGUGUUUGCAUGUGAGCAAAGUAUCUAAGCUCCUGUUGCAGUCAGUAGGGAUCUAGACCAGGAUCCGGAUCAGCAGACCUUGCAGAGCAAUUUGGCUGACAAAGUUCAGAGGUUCACUUCAUGAAGAGCUGAAGACUUUUGUGAGGCUCUGAUAAACCAAGAGCAGCAUAGGGAGUACCUCAGGUCCAGGCACUCAAAUUAGGCAAACUAAAUCCCAACCUUGGUGACUAAAAGAAGAGUGAAUACAUCUAUAUACAUUUAUUAGAAGAAUAUGAAAUUCAUCAGGCUUUGUGCCAUCAUUUGUCAUUUUCAUCGGGGUGAAGAAUAAAAAGGCAUAAGCCUGGUGGAUGGAUAAGAUUCAAUCUCUGUUUCUCCACAUGCAAACACAUACUCCUUUUCAUCAUACCCUACUAUGCUAUAUUACUUACAUUCUCACAAAAUGUGUGCCUUCUCAAAUGGACCUACAGAUCCUCCAGAUGUACAAGAAUGCACUUGUUGUAUAAAAGAUAUAUUUUUUUUGCUACUGUAAAUGAGAAAUGUGGAAAUAUAAAUAAUUCUUAAUAUUUUUUGUACGGUUUUCUGUAUUUUGAUUCUAUCUCUGUAAUGGGUAAAUGAAAGUAUUAGUAGUGUAUAAUUUAUUUUUUUACAGUCUUCUCUGUUCUGUUCUACAUUAUUGUUACAUCCUCUCCUGUUGCCAUAGAAAUGAUUGAUAUGUCCAAUCACAGCAUUCUUGCCAUACCCUCAUCUCUACAUACUGUGUGCCUUGCUCUUUAAACUAAACUCUCACUUGGCUUUUUGAUACUUUGGAUUAUGCUCUGUAGAAAGAAAAAAGAUUGAGAGGGGAGAACUUUGGCAUUCAGAAGGCUGCAACUAAUCCAAAAGACAAAGUUACAUAUAUUAAUAAUGUGAAUCCACAUGAUUUUACUCUAAGGCUUGUGACAUUUGGUUCUUUUAUUAACCCCCAACUCCAAUAAGCAAUGACUGUGGGAGAAUGUUAGCAUCCUUUCAUUCAAUAUUGCAUGUAAUAAACAAUACAUGGAUUCAUAGCCACAGAAUGUGAAAGAUCAAAGGUAAAUUUGAAGAACUGCCUUUUUGGGUGUGAGCUGAUU